UACAAGGGAUGCAAGCGUUAUCCGGAAUGAUUGGGCGUAAAGCGUCUGUAGGUGGUUUUGAAAGUCGAUUGUCAAAAACCAAGGCUUAACCUUGGAUCGGCGAUGGAAACUUCAAAACUAGAGUGCGGUAGAGGUAGAGGGAAUUACCGGUGGAACGGUGAAAUGUGCAGAUAUCGGUAAGAACACCAAGGGCGAAGGCACUCUACUGGGCCGCAACUGACACUGAGAGACGAAAGCUAGGGGAGCGAAUAGG
rnacentral:rRNA from 1 species